rnacentral:tRNA from 1 species
UGUUCUGUGGCGAAGUUGGUUAACGCACUCUGACUUGCGAAUUGGGGUGACGUGGGUUCAAAUCCCAGCAGAACUA